rnacentral:rRNA from 1 species
GAUGAACGCUAGCGACAGGCUUAACACAUGCAAGUCGAGGGGCAGCAUAGAAGUAGCAAUACUUUGGUGGCGACCGGCGCACGGGUGAGUAACGCGUAUGCAACCUACCUAUCAGAGGGGAAUAACCCGGCGAAAGUCGGACUAAUACCGCAUAAAACAGGGGCACCGCAUGGUGAUAUUUGUUAAAGAAAUUCGCUGAUAGAUGGGCAUGCGUUCCAUUAGGUAGUUGGUGAGGUAACGGCUCACCAAGCCGACGAUGGAUAGGGGAACUGAGAGGUUGGUCCCCCACACUGGUACUGGGACACGGAUCAGACUCCUACGGAAGGCAGCAGUGAGGAAUAUUGGUCAAUGGGCGGGAGCCUGAACCAGCCAAGUCGCGUGAAGGAAGAAGGAUCUAUGGUUCGUAAACUUCUUUUGCAGGGGAAUAAAGUGCAGGACGUGUCCUGUUUUGUAUGUACCCUGAGAAUAAGGAUCGGCUAACUCCGUGCCAGCCGCCGCAGUAAUAC